GGGCCCGCACAAGCAGUGGAGCAUGUGGUUUAAUUCGAUGCAACGCGAAGAACCUUACCCAGACUUGACAUACAGUAGACCGCUUAAGAAAUUAAGCUUCCAGCAAUGGCUGCUGUACAGGUGCUGCAUGGCUGUCGUCAGCUCGUGCCGUGAGGUGUUGGGUUAAGUCCCGCAACGAGCGCAACCCUUAUCAUUAGUUGCCAACGCGUAAUGGCGGGGACUCUAGUGAGACUGCCUGGGUUAACCAGGAGGAAGGUGAGGAUGACGUCAAGUCAGCAUGGCCUUUAUGUCUGGGCUACACACGUGCUACAAUGGUCGGUACAGAAGGCAGCAAGACCGCAAGGUGGAGCAAA
rnacentral:rRNA from 1 species